rnacentral:lncRNA from 1 species
UUUUUUUUUUUUUCAGCUUACCAAAAAUAAAAGAAAGAAUAAAUUAAAGGAAACCCCCUCCAAUGUGAAAGUAAACAACAUGACAUUUUUAGACAAAAUGACAGUCAUUAGAAAAAUAGAAAGCUUGAGGUUGUUGGGGUAGUCAAAGUCAAGUUCUCUAGCAUCAAUGGUAUGCAACUACAAGAACACAAGGCACAAAUCCAUAGUGUCAUAUAAGAACAUUGCCAUGUUCCCAUCCACAUAAAAAGGGAUUGGGAUUGUAAGAAUCAAGAUCCUAGAUCAACUCUGCAGGAGUAUUCAGCAUUCAACCAUGUUAUUGAAUUAAAAAUUGACAGAUUCUAUAAAACAGAAAUGGAAAACAAAUACAAUAUCAUUAUCUAAUGAAAUAUACCAUUUGAGUAAAAAAAAAUUUACAUAAAUGAAGACACACUAGAUAAGAAAAUGUAUUAAGAUAUGCUAAUAAAGCAAUAGGAAUUUAUUUUCUUUUCAUAUGUAAUUUUUUUUCAAAAAUUAAAAAUAAAUAAAUAAAUUUCCUAUUACAUGGAAUUAAACCUAGAACUUUCCAGGUCUAAAGGCCACAAAUAAAGCAAUAGGAAUAUGGCAUGACUUCAAAACAAAGCAUUGUUCUUUUUGUUCUUAUAGGCAAAAUAAGAAUAGAGAUGUAUUAAAAGUGCCAAUCAAAAAGGCAAAGAGGAUCUAUUCUCCAUGGCUUUCUUCUCUUCUUGCCCACAACACUCCCAUUCCAACCUAUUAACAAGUCCUUCAAUGAAUGUGGGAGAACUCAUGAAAUGUCAAAUAAAGAGAAAAGAAAGUGUCAUAGACCUCUAUCUUCCCAUAAUGGAAAAGAAGAUGGUUUAUUGAUUCUUCCGCAUCUUUACACAUACAAAAAUAACCUGCCAAAAACCACCCUCUUCUUUUAAGUUAGUCCAUUGUAAGAAUCUUUACCCAACCCACUUUCCACAGACACAAAAAUAAAAAUAAAAACAAAAAAAUAAAACAAAACAAUAAAUAACCACUUUGGUAGGAGCCCAAGAGUCCCACGCUAUCUUUAAGGGGAAUGACACUACAACAUCCAAUUCCAAGGCAGAGUAGAAAGACUUCACCAAGAAUUCCACACUUUUGCUAGCCUUCCUAACCAUCUUAUCCCCCUUUCCCACUUCUUCGUAAUGAAUAAAGCUUCCAAAGAAACUCCUAAACAUUACCCAUCUCCCAAUCUUGAAAAUGUCUUGAGAAGCACAGGUUCCACAUGACCAUCUCACCUUCUACCCCCCAAACCUCAUCCAUCCAAGCUUCCUUGGAAGUUGUAAAGGAGAAAUAGAGAUGGAAAAGAGUCCUUGAAGGGAACAUCACCGCACCAUACAUCAUGCCAAAAUUUUAUUCUUCUCCCAUGGCCCACCUCAAAUCUCAUGUUAACUUUAAAAAUUUGCCACCUUUUUCUUAUCAACUUGCACAAGCCAACACCAUAGCCUUCUCUCCUUAUCCAAGAGUACCAACCACUUGGCUCUUCUCCAAACCUUCCCACUAUGACCUUUCUCUAAAGCAUAUCCCCCUCCAAAGUGAAUUUUCAACACCAUUUACUCAAUAAAGCCUUAUUGCCCCUCCUUUUCACCUUUGCAAAUCCCUUUGAAUUUUUUCUAGUCUCACCAGCCAUCAACUUGGGAAUUACAAAAAGGAACAUAUUCCUUAAUGCCUAGACCCCUCCUUUUAAACUUUGAAAAUCCCUUUGACUUUUUUCUAGUCUCACGCCAUUACAAAAAGGAACAUGAAGGAAAUUGGUAAAACAAAGCAUUGUUUUACAAGUUAAAGAAGUAAUUACACCCAAAAAAAGAAAAAGAGAUAAAAAAAAAUAAAAAUAAAAAAAGGUGAUCCAACAUAAAAUUUGGCUAGGAACACUUGCAGAAGCUAUUUGAAAAUAUAUUUAAAUGAAAGAUACUCACUAUAACCCUUUUUUUAUCUGAAAUAAACUAAUUCAUUAAUAUGAAUUUUUAAGUACAAACGAAAAACAAGUUAUCCUACCAGCAAAAAAAUAAAAUAAAAGCUGAUCAAAUGAAGAGAGAGAACCUCUCGAGUAGGAACAAUAAAACAGUUAUACCUCUCAAGAAUAGCACAAACUGUUUCGCCUAUGAAAAAACCAAUAGUGUAAAAUUUACCUAUAAGAUACUCCUAUGGCACAACUUUGGCUACCAUGUCCCUUCUCACAGUGCCUUUCAAUCGAAAAAAAUGUAAUCAUAGCUCAUCAGAAAACACCCAAGUUGAAUGUGAAGUCCAAAGAGCCUACUGAUUUUGAUAGGAAUUAAGAAAAAUUCAAGAACCGGAAAUUCUCUUCUAGGAGUUGGGUAGAAAUUGUACCGGGUUGUUAUCCAGGGUUCUAUUUUUAAGUUCAAGUCCCAACAGGGAUGCGCAUUCAUUUAGCCAACACUAAGCACCUUUACAUGUAAAACUGUCAUACCUAUUUCCCUCUUCUCAUAUUUAACUAUAUUAAAGAUAUUAUCAAAAUAAUAUAUUCCAGCCAUCAUAAAACAGGAGCUGACAUCACAGAGCCAACAACUCAGCCUAGGAAGUUUGAUGAGUGAGCUAACAUAAGAUUAUAUCCAAAACAUAAAGACAACAUUUUUGAUCUUAUAAAAAACAUACAGCUUCAUUAUCAUCAUCAAACAGAGAAGAACUUCAUCCAAAACCUUACUUACAUUGAGAAAAAACAGUAUUAGUGAAACAGCUCAAAAUUGUAUCUGACCUGUGAAUCCAACUACAGGCCACGGCCAGUUCUUUGGCUCUUCAUGUGCUCAUACUCAGGAUCAUCUGUGGGCAACUCAUACCGACAAACUGGGCAAGUAUUGCGAAUGCUCAGCCACGGUACUAUGCAAUCUCCAUGGUAAUGAUGAGAGCAAGGAAGUCUUUUCACCUUUUCCUCCAAUAAAAUCUCAUCCUUACAAACUGCACAAACCACAUUGUUCUUCUCCAAAUAUUGUUGCGUUAAUUCAACCACCGGAAGAUUCUGCACAACCGACUUGGCGGCAGGAGGACUACCCUUUAAACCAGCAUCAUCUUCUGUGAAUAGCCCAAAAAGGGUUACAUAUUCUGUGGCAUUAACAUAAUCAUCUUGAUCGGUAAAGAAUGAAUCGAUAUCCAAGUCAUGUUCUAAAUUCAAUGUCCUCUCCAAAUUGUUCAUCGCCAAUAGAACUUCCCAAUCAAGACUCCGAGCCGCUUCGUCCCUGCCAUCACCAGCUUCUUCUUCUUCUUCUUCCUCUGAUGAAAUUUCAGAGGAAAGCGAUAAUUCGUCAACCCCAUUAACCGCCAAGCUCAAGCUUGCUCUCUCAUCCACCUGUUCCCAUUCAAAAUCUUCAUUAUUGGUCCUAGUAUCCUCCAAUGGCAGACAAUCCCAAUAAAGCCGAGGAUCCAAAUCCUCAACCCGAUCCAACCCAUAAUCAUCAUUUACUUCAGAACUAAAUUCAACCCCAUCAUCCUCCGAAUCCGAAUCCGAAUCGGAUCCAAUUCCAACAACACGAAGCCCAUACGCCACCGCAGACGCAUUCUCGCCAUGCACACUCGAAGAUUCACCCGAUUCGGAUGCCCAAGCCAUCUUAUCAGAUUCAAACCCAGUCCCUAACCCUAACCCAAACUCGUCCCCAUGAUUUUGCUCAACCUCACUUCCCACUCCCAGAAUCCUAAGAUCCAAAUCAUCCGAAAACGGAUCCAAACCCGAAUCUCCAUCAUCAUCCGCAUUUCGGAAGUCCUCAGAUCGAUUUUCAAACAAAUUGGUAACCAUGUCGACCUGAUCCUGGCCGUAGAAGCAAUCUCCGUCGGAAUCGUAAGAGUAGAAGUGGUCGUAGUUGGAAAAGAUGGGGAUGGAGCGUAGGGUUUCUACAUCUUCGUAUACGACGGAGGGUUCCUGAGGGAAUUGAGCGUCCGAAACGCCCGCCAUUGUCCUCUUCGAUGACAUUCCACCUCCCUUGUCUUUUGCCUCCCCGCUCUAAUAACGGAAUACCCUCGAUUAACCGACGUCGUUUUACCCUUCCGCUGGAGAAACGGAGAAAUGCAACGACGCCGUUUUGACUUUCCUCACCAUGAAACGGUAAAGGUAAAAAAGAACUAGUUAUCUUGAUACUUUACAGAUAAAUUAAAUAACAUAAUAGAAACUUGGGUUCUGUUUGGUAAAUAUUUUUUAGAAUAAUUUUUUAUUUUUUAAAAUAAAAAAUAGAAAAACAUGUUUCACAACCAAAAACUAUUUUCUAAUCUUUUAAUUUUUUUUCACUUGUUUUCUAAAAAUUAUUUUAAAAAAUAAUCAUAUAAACUAUAUAAUUAAAAAUAAAAUACUAGACAUAAAAAUUAUUUUUAAAACAUAUUAAAAACUAUUUUAAAUAUUUAAAUUUUAAAUAAACCAUUGUUCUACAAAAAUUAAAGAACAGUUUCAAAAGUUAUUCUUAAAAACUAUUUUUUCAAAUUUAUUUUUGAAAAUAAUUAUCAAAUAAGUCUUUAAUAUUUUAUCAACAUAAUAAUAAUAAUAAUAAUAAUUCUAUAAAAAAAACUUCUCAAAUUUAUUUUUAAGUUUCGAAAACAAUUCCAAACACAGCUCGAUAGUUCCCCUAAACAUGAUUUUUUUUGUAGUUAGAUUUUGGUUCUGAUGACAAUGACACCUAUGAGAAAACGUUUCUUUCAUUUAUAAAUUUGAAUUCCAUCCUUAACUCAAAUAUAUUGAUCAUAUGAAUUCAAAGAAGCAACUGAAAAAUGUGAUUUGGUAGACAGCCAAAACUCAUCAUUUUCAAUCAUAAUUUCUAAGUGAUGGCUUAACAUAUUUGGUGGUAUAUAUGAAUGACAAGAUGUUGGAAGGCUCCAAAAAUGCAUGAUUGUCAUGUGAUCUCACAAACAAAACCUGUCCCCAUCCCAAUUUCUUCUGAGAAUUUUCCAGGAAAGGACCCGGAAAGAGGGUGAGAGUCUUCACAGCUCCUUUAUGAAUGUGGAAAAAAUGAGAGGGAGUUGGGUACAAUGUCUGAUUGUUAGGAUAUAUGUAGCUUUCUUAUAUUUAUGCAGCAAAAUUUUCUCCUAACUUUGACAAUGGCCCAUUAUUCCAAAAGCUGUGUUGGAAUAAUCUGCCUUCUUUUCAAUGACCUCCAAUGAAGAAAAUAUUGAGAGGUUGGAGGUGAUGCUUUAGUUCUGUUUGGAAAUUGAGUACUUCGAAAACAUUGUUUGAAAACAGUUUUAUAAUAUUUUAUAAAAUAAAAGUCUGUUUAAGAACGUAAAACAUUCUUAAACUAUUUUUUAUGUUUUUAAAUAUAUUUAAAAAAUAAUUUUUACAUGUAAUAUUUUAUUUUUAAUCAUGAAUUAAUAUUUUUUAAAACAAUUUUCAUAAAACAAGAGAGAAAACAUAUGAAAACAAUUAAUAGAUAUCCUCCAAAAACAUCAUAUUUUCUAUUUUUAAUAAUAAAAUUGCUUUUUAUUUUCUGGUUGUCAAACAUUCUUUUCUGUUUUUUGUUUUAAAAAAAAAAAUUGUUUUUAGUUGAAUCUAGGGAGGAAUACUUCUCCUUUUAUCAUUAGGCCAUGUUUUAAGAUACCCAGAUGGGGGCAACUCCUGAUUUAGAUUGUGUAGAUUUUUGUAUGUUGAAAGAGAUGAAUAAUGCUCUAAUACUGCAAGCCAGUGGGAAGUGCUCAAAUUUGUGGGUGAUGUGAAUUUUUGGGUUUUUGGGAGGCUUUGGAGUUCAAAAUAUGCCCCCUUUGUUGGGAUUGAGCCACAUGGACCCAUCAUGGCUAACGCUUAGCACUUCCGAAGGGAAGGCCAGAGGUUGUAGCCCCUCAAAUCCACCAAUUGUUUAUUUGUCUCAAAGGGGGCGUCCCCAAGAGGAUUCAAGACUAGGACUAAACCUUAUGUCCAACCAUCUCCUGGUACCAUCCGGGUAAGUAACCGUUUCCAUCUUAUUAAUUGAUACUUGGCUGAAUACGGCACAAAAUCAAGACCUUGUACCUUUUUUCUAGAACAAUUACAUUCUUUCUCAGGGUGAAAUUGCCUGUUAAUAAUGGUGACAUCAAUAUUCCAUGAGACGGCCGCCUGGUGAGGACUUCCUUUUCUAGCUCCUUCAAUGUGAAAACUUUUUUUAGAUGUUUAUCACUGAUGACGUUCUUGGAAAACCAUCUCGAUGAGUCCAAAGCCUAUGGUUGAAUUCCCUAAGGUAAAUGCAUAGUUUAAUUUCCAUUGGUAUGUCCAGCACUUGGUUUAGGAAAUGUAGUUGGGAUUCCCACAGCAGAACGUAUCUGACAUCGACGAUUCUUCCAAAGAAACAAGGCGUCAAAACUAUGGUAUAUAUAUGGCCAAGGUGAAGGAUGGUGUUUUCCCUCUUCUUCCUUCCUUCCCUGUCUGUGUCUCUCUCUCAGCUACCAUGGACAAGGUAUAAUAUACAUAUGGAGACCAUGUCCAACUUCAGUGUCAUAUAUGACACUAGCUGUCAAUAGUUGAAGGAGAGGAGUCUUGUUUUUGAUGUUUGUUUUUAGUCUCUCCCCCUCUCAAGCCCAGUGACCUUGGGCUUCUUCUAGCUUAGAUAUUGCUUUGUUUUGUUUUGUUUUGUUUUCAUUUUGACCUUAGAACUGUUCAUACAGCUCUAUUUGGAGCUUUCCAUCUUUUUUUAUGGUGUGUUCUUUAGUAUAUCAAAAGAGUAAGCCACUGAAACAGCAUCUCCUCCACAGAGAUAUGAUCUCUAUUCUGUGAUAGUCUCAUCAUGACAUCUCUAGAAAACCUGCCGAGUUUUCAGGAAUCUGAUAACAAUCAACCACAUCUGCAUAUAAAAUUGGCAAAUUUUUGUUCUUAUUUCUCCUCCAAUUCUUUGUCUUCUAGAUAUGUAAGGAAAAAAAGGCAUGGAAGCUUGUUUUUUCUUAGUUGUCACAUGCAUGAGAUGGACUAAUUAAGGUUUUUUCUUUUCAGAACAUCGAUAAUUCAUCCAUUUCAGCUGAUGGGAGCAUUGAUAGUUCAUCCAUUUCAGCUGAUGAGAGCUUCAACAGUGACAGCCCUGACAGGGGGACUUACAAUAGAGCUCUAGAAAUUGAAUCCAUGGAUACAAGAAAAAAGCCUGCAGACUCUGGGAAGAUGAUCAUUUUUGAAACAUGGGGGCAACUUUUGGUCAUGGUGCCAUUCACCAUUGCCAUCACCCUAUUUGGUGCAUCCUGGGCUAACGAGCGCGAAUACAUCGUUCCUGGCUUCUUUCCUAACUCCCAAACAUUCUUCUUGAUCACAACGUUGAAUUUCUACGUCUCAAUAAUUGGAAUCGUCGUUGGGCAUGUGUCUCCCACCUUUGCUAUAGGGUUUCACCUCAUUGCCUUCUUGUGCGCCCUUAUAUCACUGACCAUGCUCUUUGAGGCGCUUCUACCAAAUGAGCUUAGUGCAGUGCCAUGGAUUUUCCUAGCACUUGUCAUCUCCAUUCUUUGCGGAUUAGUCAUUUAUGAGUGGCAUUUCAUGCCCAUAAAGAACAACCCCCAUGGCCAAAACGAAGAAGUUGUAGCUCCCAAUGGAUCCUAGAUGGAAGCACAAAAGUGGUUAAUUUUCUUGAUUGAUCUAAAUUAAGGAUAUAUGUAUUGAAGGUCCCCUUAGAGGAUUAAGUUCAGUCAGACAGCUUGAAACAGGAUUUUUUCUUUUUCCUUUUUCCCCCACUUUGGUAAGUGAAGAAAAGAGAAUGUAACGCUCUUACAAUUGAGAAGAAAUGAUAGUUUUUUUCUCAUUCCUUUUGAGAUAUCAACCGUAAGCUGCCAAUUUUGCCCAAACACAUUGGUGAUGAAAAGUAGAAAGAACAAAAAACCGGCUAAAUCAAACCAAAACUGAUACACAUAAACUCUCAUACUUAUCAUCCAUCGUUUACAUUAUUAAUUAAGCGCAAAUUUUUCAUAUUUGAUGGGAUUCCAAAUCAUACCUACUCAUUUUUUUUCCUAUGAUUGUGCUAAUUCUUAUGAGUGACAUUGGAUAUAUCGAUAGUAUAUAAGAUAACUUAAAACUGUUAUUAUUAUUACUAAACCAAACCAAAUUGAUUAGUUUCCUCUUAAGAUUCAAUUAAUUUGAUUCUUGAUAUAUAAAAUCGAUUAAAUCUAUUUGGUUUUAUAUGUAUCAAAAUCAUCGCUGAGGAAUAUAACACCAAGUAACAGCAUAAUUCCAUGUAAACAAGAGUUCUAUGUAGGGUGGGGAAAUGCCAAAGUAGGGGGGUGCAAAAUCCAACCAGAUGAGGCCAGCCUUGGGCCCAGAAGACAUGGCCAACAAUAGGAAUGUGAACCUAAAACUUCAUCUUAAUGGGGUUGCGUUCGAUUCAACAAAUGUAAGCUGCUUUUGAAACCUCUAUGUCAAUGGAAAGAAAACAAUGAAAAUUUUGAACAAGGAUUCUAAGACUUGGAAGGUUUCAGGCCCCCAUACAUUUCCUAUGUGGUACAAUAAAUUCAUGCAAUCUUCUAACAAUCUUUAGAUUGCAAGAAUUGAAAGAUAUAAAAGGAGUAGGACAUUUGGAGCAAUGUCAAGAUUCAAUGCAUCAAAAUUGAUGCCUUAAAGCUAUGAAUUAGCUUAGGAUAGGAGUUGUAAAUCUUAGAACACUGACGAAAAUUAAAUUUCUAUGAACCAAAUGUUUUUAUUGUUGAUCUCGAAACAACCACCCACAUUGUUUUUUCUAUUCAUACUUGUGUAAAUGGGUCGGCAUGAAUAUGUCAUGCACUUGAACCGAAGGUUCAUGAGAGCUCUAAAAAGCUUGUCUAAUUUCUUUUAAGAGGUGGUUCCAUUUCUAUUCUCAUAUAUAAGAAAAUAUAUAAAGUGUGUCCUAUAAUUAAGCACACCGUCAUAAGAGAUACGUUAUUCAUUAAAAAGUAUGUAAUCAUCCUCAACUAUUAUAGAAUGUACACUAUUUCAGCCAUAGGCAUAGUCACUUGUAUAAAAUAAUCAACAAUACACUACUUAGUCAACAAGUGACCUGCAUAAACCUAUUUCUUGGAAUCUUCGUUCAUGUAGGUUGGAUUUGUUGGGAUACAAUAUUAUAAAACAUGACAUAAUGUAACAAAUUGAAAUUCAUUAAUAAAUUUAUUUAUUUAUUUAUAUUUUUUAUUUCUUUUAUUAUUUCAUAUGCAUUAAUUAGUUAUAUGAGCAUACAUGCUCAUAUCACUUACAUUAUACAUGAUUUAAAUGCAUUAGAAGUUAUACAGAAAAUACAAGUUAUGGGUUCUUUGUAAGAUAAUAAAUUGUUUACAAUCAGUUCAUGAAUCUAAAUAAUCUAACAGAGAUUGUAGUGCAACACCUCUUAAAUUAAAGAAUAACUUGUCUUGGUUAUCAUGAUAAAGUUCUCAUGAUAAAUACACUAAUAUAUAUAGUUAUACAUUGGCAAAACCUAUGGUAAAUCAUAACAUAAGAUUAUCAAUUGUCAUGAUUCAUCAAAUUAUCAUACCGCAUGGGCUCUUGCUACUCUCAACCUAAUAUGAUCAUAUAUCCUUACAGAUUAGGUCACUUUGUAGACGCUAAUAAUUUCUCUCUUAUGUUUCAUAAUGUUUUUAUUUUUUCAAGACGCAAAUAAGAUCUCGAUAAAAUACUUAGCAACAUAAGGCUUUGGUAGCUAAAUAUUCUCAUUCUAUAAGUCACUAACUAAAGCAUGAUAAGUAUAGAUUUAAGAUGACACAUCUCUAUCCUCGAUUCCCGAAAAAUUUCUAACAUCCUCUCUGACACAUUUUUCAAUUCUAGCAUCCUAUAGCAUAAUAUUUAUUACUUGAAAAUCAAAUAGGAUUUUUUUUCGCUUGAGAUGAUCUGCGUCCCUCUUGAGACGGUCUCAGAAAGCAAAUGAGGAGAAAGGAGGAUUUACCUCCAAGGUACAAUAAUCAAACUACAAAAAUUCAAAUGCAAUCUAUAUUGAAGAUAAUACAUAUCAAGUAUUACCAAAAUAUAGAAGUCCUCAAUCCCCAUUCUCUAUUUAACAAUUGGUUUAAAAACUAUAAAAAAUAAUAAAUAAAAAAUAAAAAAUAAAAGUUAAUAAUUACGCUCUAUCAUGUCUUUUUUCCUGCUUAGUUUCCAAAGUCCAAAUCCACCUAGCCAAACGCACCUCUACAAAUCCUAAUUCUGCUUGCAAAAGGAAUGUAACUAAAGACUUCCAAAAAGACUCAAACUGACUAUUAACGGUCCAAAAAACCGCCAAAGAAUGAGUUGCAACAGGUAUGGCACCUCAUACCUCUCGCCACCUUUUCCCGAUCAGAUUCUUCUUCAAUUUUCAGUCAAAAUCUCCAUUCAAAACCUUACCCAUAUCUCCAUUUUCAUCGUACCAAGCAACACCCACCAAGAAGAAAACAUUUUCCCAUAUUUUCCAAGAAUGCUCGGAUCGAAAAGCGCUGUGUCCGGGUAAACAAGCCCAUGCUCGCAUGAUCUUAACUGAGUUUAAACCGACGGUCUUUGUUACGAAUUGUUUGAUCCAAAUGUACAUUAAAUGUUCCGAUUUGGAAUUUGCUUUCAAGGUGUUUGAUGGAAUGCCUCAACGGGACACGGUUUCUUGGAACGCAAUGCUUUUUGGUUAUGCGGGGCGUGGAGAUAUAGGAGUCGCGCAAAAGUUGUUUGACGCAAUGCCUGAACGGGAUGUGGUGUCGUGGAACUCUUUGAUUUCAGGGUACUUGCACAAUGGUGAUCAUCGAAAGGUGAUUGAUGUUUUUUUACAGAUGGGAAGAAUGGGUACAGUGUUUGACCGUACUACUUUUGCUGUUGUGCUGAAAUCUUGUUCCUCUUUGGAAGACCAUGGUGGGGGGAUCCAAAUUCAUGGACUUGCAGUUAAAAUGGGUUUUGAUUGUGACGUGGUUACUGGAAGUGCUUUACUAGAUAUGUAUGCAAAAUGUAAGAAAUUAGAUUGUUCAAUUCAGUUUUUUCAUAGUAUGCCUGAAAAGAACUGGGUUUCUUGGAGUGCCAUAAUUGCAGGUUGUGUUCAGAAUGAUGACCUCAGGGGUGGUUUAGAAUUGUUCAAGGAGAUGCAGAAAGCAGGAGUUGGGGUGAGCCAAUCUACUUUUGCUAGUGUGUUCAGGUCUUGUGCAGGUUUAUCUGCAUUAAGAUUAGGCUCUCAGUUGCAUGGUCAUGCAUUAAAGACUGAUUUUGGGACUGAUGUUGUAAUAGGAACUGCCACUCUGGAUAUGUACAUGAAGUGUAACAAUUUGUCAGAUGCUCAAAAGCUAUUUAAUUCUUUGCCGAAUCAUAACUUGCAAUCUUAUAAUGCCAUUAUUGUUGGGUACGCUCGAAGUGACAAAGGUAUUGAAGCUUUAGGGAUGUUUCGGCUUUUGCAAAAGUCAGGUCUUGGGUUAGAUGAAGUUAGUCUAUCUGGUGCUUUUAGGGCUUGUGCAGUUAUUAAAGGGGAUCUAGAGGGGCUUCAAGUACAUGGAUUAUCAAUGAAGAGUUUGUGCCAAUCAAAUAUUUGUGUGGCAAAUGCCAUCUUGGACAUGUAUGGUAAAUGCGGAGCUCUGGUUGAAGCUUGUCUUGUGUUUGAGGAAAUGGUCAGCAGAGAUGCUGUCUCUUGGAAUGCAAUCAUUGCAGCUCAUGAGCAGAAUGGAAAUGAAGAAAAAACACUUUCCCUAUUUGUUUGGAUGCUCCAAUCAGGGAUGGAACCUGAUGAGUUCACUUAUGGUAGUGUUUUAAAAGCUUGUGCAGGUUGGCAAGCUCUGAACUGUGGCAUGGAGAUCCACAACAGGAUUAUAAAAUCCAGGCUGGGAUUGGACAGUUUUGUGGGAAUUGCUCUUAUUGAUAUGUACAGCAAGUGUGGAAUGAUGGAAAAGGCAGAGAAGCUCCAUGACAGGUUAGCAGAACAAACAGUGGUUUCAUGGAAUGCCAUUAUUUCUGGGUUCUCCUUGCAGAAACAAAGUGAGGAAGCUCAGAAAACUUUUUCUAAAAUGUUGGAAAUGGGUGUGGAUCCAGAUAACUUCACUUAUGCCACAAUUCUUGAUACCUGUGCCAAUCUGGUCACUGUUGAACUUGGCAAGCAGAUUCAUGCUCAAAUCAUCAAGAAAGAAUUGCAAUCAGAUGCUUAUAUAUCAAGCACUCUAGUUGAUAUGUAUUCGAAGUGUGGAAACAUGCAAGAUUUCCAAUUAAUAUUUGAGAAAGCACCUAACCGUGAUUUUGUGACAUGGAAUGCCAUGGUCUGCGGCUAUGCUCAGCAUGGUCUUGGAGAAGAGGCUCUUAAAAUAUUUGAGUAUAUGCAACUUGAGAAUGUAAAACCAAAUCAUGCAACAUUCCUUGCAGUUCUCCGAGCUUGUGGGCAUAUGGGGCUUGUUGAGAAAGGUUUGCAUUAUUUCCAUUCAAUGCUUAGUAACUAUGGGUUAGAUCCUCAGUUGGAGCACUAUUCUUGUGUAGUGGAUAUAAUGGGGAGGUCAGGCCAAGUUAGCAAAGCUUUGGAGCUUAUUGAAGGGAUGCCUUUUGAGGCCGAUGCUGUUAUUUGGAGAACUCUGCUUAGCAUUUGCAAGAUCCAUGGAAAUGUAGAGGUGGCAGAAAAGGCAGCCUAUUCUAUUUUGCAACUGGAACCUGAAGAUUCUGCUGCUUAUGUUCUUCUAUCAAAUAUUUAUGCUAAUGCUGGGAUGUGGAACGAAGUUACGAAGUUGAGGAAGAUGAUGAGAUUUAAUGGGCUAAAAAAGGAGCCGGGAUGCAGCUGGAUUGAGAUAAAGAGCGAGGUACAUGCUUUCCUUGUUGGUGAUAAGGCUCACCCAAGAAGCAAAGAGAUAUAUGAGAACCUGGAUGUGUUGACAGAUGAGAUGAAAUGGGUUGGGUAUAUGCCUGAUACUGAUUUUAUUCUUAAUGAUGAUGAAUUGCGCUGUGUAAAUGGCUGAUACAAUUUUCUCUUAAUGAUGGAGAAGAGGAACACGAGCAACAGCAGCAUUUCACAUCCUGCUUGGGGAUUUAGUUUCUUUGCCACCAGAGAAUAUAUCAGGAAGCAAAUGGCACUGAAUUUGGCGAGAAUUUUGGAUAUUUCAAGCAAACAAACAGAGUGUGGAAACGCAGUAAUCAUUCGGAAAUUUGAAGUUCCUGAAUUCUGGAUAUUUCAAGCCAAUGAUUUGUUGUGUGGUAGACAAGAAAUCACUCUAUAAGCUUGAUAAACUAUUGCUGGAGAAAUCCCUCAAAAUUUCCAGAGCAGGAAUGCUUGAUAAACUAUUUCAGGGGAAAUCCAUCAAAAUUUCCAGAGCAGGAAUGAUAAAGGAACCAAGCCACAGAUACAAUGGCCACAGAUUGUAAAUGAGGAGAGCUGCUGGAGAAUGGAGUAGGAAUAAGAAUGAAUAACGAAGAUUAAGAUCAUCAAGCAUAAGAAAAGAAAAGCAGCCAAGAUUCAGUUUUGCUUCCACACCAUUCAGUUAUUCCUGUUCCUCACUAACAUGUGGUAGUGAGUAGUGAGUUGAUUUUGAUGAAGGAUUUAUCACAUCACUUGAAUUGAUUUGUACUUUACAACCGAAGCUCUGCAAAACCAAAUACUGAUUUGUUAUGUCAAUGAAGUUGUGAAUCAUUAAUAGCAAUCACCAGGGAUCCUACUUUGACACCAUAAAAUCUUUCCAACACUAUCUGCUGAUGCCCCCAGCCGUCCUCUUCAUAGGCACUCUGGAUGGAUUAGUGAAAAAAUAAAGUAAAAGAGGCAAUCUACUUCUUGCUAAAAAUAUGUUGCUCCUGCCAAAGUUAAAAGAAACUAUUUCUCAGUUCUACAACAUUUCAUCCUCAUUAUGAUUUUUAACGAAGUUAGCAUAUAGGCCAAAGAAACAUGUGAGAACUACAAAACCUACAAGGUUAAGUGAUGAUUAGAGAGGUAUAUACAGAUGUUGCAUUUCGGCUCCUCAUCAAGUGAAACACAAAAUUUUCCUGUGGGCAGGUAAUCGAGAGAGACUCUCCCACAGAUAACAUCAAAAUUGGCGGUUUUGUUGUUGAAACAAGUAGGCUGCUGUCAGUAAGAUGAAAACUGCCAUGAAGAUAUACUUGAAGCUAAGCUGCCCUGGAUCUAACCUCCUCACUGUCUCAGGCUCUGAUACAGAAUCUGAAGGCCCAGCAAUAAUUCCCCCAACAGAUAAAUUUUUUGGUGCCUCCUCCAUCUGGAAACAGGCCAAGACAGAAGUAUUUUAGAAAAAAUAAUAAUAAUUUAUGAUUUCCAUAAGGGACAAAGAUAUAAACAUUAGAAAAUAUCAAAUAAAAAAUUUGUCUUUAACAUUAGAAUAUAUUGUUUUCUUUUUUCUCUCUUUUGGCCUUCAAAAAAGAUUGAACUGAAAUUUUAAAAAGAACUACACUUUCACAAGCAAAACUAAAAAGAUCACCAACCUCAAAACUCGAAGCUGAGAACUCAGUUUGUUCUACGAUGCAUUCUUUUGCACAAGUGGCAGUAGUCAAAUCAUCCUUGGGACAAAAUUCUCCGCGAGUCACUUUACUAGCAAUAGAGGGGUCCUCCGUUUUCUUUAGCUUCCCCACCAAAACCUUAUUCUUGUCUGUUAACAAAGAUACCUGCACAUAAACAAACAAAGCAAGUUUCAAUUGGAAGAAGUUUUGAGUACUAUUAUCUCCAGCACAAUACUUUCACCAAGCAACCAUGCAACUGAUUUAUCACUUAGCAUGCAUUUUAAAUUUAUUUUUAUUUCAACACCUAAAAUAAUGGAUUAAUGUGAGAAAGAAGACAGCAAAAAGGAAGCAAGCACAGCCACAAUCAACAUCGAAUCUGGAUAAAUGAAUAGGCUAAGACCUGCUUAUGAAGGCGCUCUCUCUCAAAAGCAAGUUGCAUGACCAAAUUUGUUAUUACUUUGGUCCGAACACUAAUGUCCUUUGCAGUCUCAACUUUUGUUUCCUCAGCUUGAUGCAAAGAUGUCUCCAAGCAUUCCAUUCUAGUCCUCAGAAAACUAAGUUCCUCACUUAGCUCUGCAUUAGAUUCAGAUAAUAUUAUACACUUCUCUUCUGUGCAGUCAGCCCGGCUUUCAGCUUUUGAAACUUUCAGUUUCAGAUCCUCAAUUAAAUUUUCCAUAUCCUCUAUUGUAGAAUACAACAUGCUUUGCUUCUCCAGACUUGCUUCAGCAGAUGCUAAUGCAUGCUGUAGCUGAAUAUCAGAUUCCCUCAACUGCUUCUCAAGUGAAUUCACCUUCUCAGUGGUGUUAUCACUUCUAAGAAGAACCAGCUCAUCACUAAGUUCCAUAUUGGUCUCCAUUAACAAUUUACACUUGGCUUCUGCACUCUCAGCCCUACUUUCUGCUUUAGAAAUUCUUUCUUUCAGGUUGAUGACAACAUUUUUCAUUUCACUGAGUUGAGAAUAUAAAGGAUGCUGCUCCUGGUUCCCAUCAACAGAGGCUUUUGCAUUCAUCAGCUGAAACUCAGAUUCUUUCAGCUGGUUCUCGAGUGAACUAACCUUCUCCCUCAAAGUGAAGGCCUCAGAAUUAGAAAGAAUUAAUUUAUCUUCAGCUUCCCUCAGGCUGGCUUUCAAGUUGUUCGUCUGUUGUAUAAGGAAGUCAUGAAGUUCAGCACUGCUGCUUUCAAGCUUCAGCAAAGCAUCUUCUUUGUCUUCCACCUCCUUUGUAGAACCUUGAAGCUUAGAUUUCAAUUCUCCUUCUCGCUUCAUUGAACCGUUUAAGUUGAACUGAAAUAUCUGAAGCCGACCCCUUAGUUCUUUUGAAAUACCCUUUAGGACCUCAGCAGCAUUCUCUGCCUCAAACAACCUUUCCCAAACAAUUGCUUCUUCUUCUUCCAUGAAGAAAACUUCUUGUUCUAAAGAAUGUAGCCUAAGUUUCAGCUCUUCUUCAAGUUGUCUUGAUUCAGCCAACUUCUUUUCAACAUCCAACUCUCUUGCCAAAGAUUUCUCUAGCAUCCUUAGAAUAUCUCUUUGUUGCUCAGCAGUCUGCAUUUUUAUCUUUGUAUUCAUGUUUGAAAAUUCACUGUUUUCUAAAAGAUCCAUGCCUUUGUCAUUAUUCCCUGUCAAUAUCAUUCAUUAGAGAAGAAAAUAAUCAAAACCAAGAAGGUGUUUAGUAAAUCAACUUAAUAAAUUAAUAUGAUUUAAGUUAUUAAGUAUAUUAAAUAUAUUUGGUAAAGUAACUUAAAUUAUAACUUAAAGUUAAAAAUGACUUAGAUAAAUCAACUUAAUAAUUUAAUAUGACACAAUAAUUUAAGUAUAAUUUAACCUAAAGUCAUCUUAAGCCAAUAAGCUUUAGAUAUUAAGUCUUUACCAAACACACUCUUAAGUCUUUCUCACAUAUUACACAUCUUAUGUUUGCAGUUAAUAGGAAGUUAAUUUUAAACUGAUACUUUUCAUCUAUGACAAACAUCUCCAUCCUUUAAUGUCUCCCCCCUCCUCCGUGGGAAAAUAUAAAUCAAUCAAAUAAAACAGAAUGCAAGAUUGAUCAACUCUUUUACCAGCUAAACAUGGUGGAACCACAUCAGCACAAUAUAUAACAUAUGGUUCCAAUAUGCUGCUGGGCACCACAAUGUGAUGAUGUUGCACCACCAUGUCAGCUCCUUGCCAAUCAUAAAAGAGCCUUUUAGUCCAACAUCUUCCAAGAAUAGAUUAAAUUAAUACAAUCAAUAGCUUAAAUUAAUACAAUCAAUAGCUUACACUUUCCUUCUCCAUCAAAACAUAGCAAAGUCCUCUGGAACUUUGCAGACUGCAUCCUUAUUUCUGAAACAUGAUCCUGUGACUGCUUCAAUAAUACAUCAGAAUCAUGUAAUUUUUCUUCCAUUUCCAUGAAAGCUCCUCCCAAAUUUUCACAUGAAGACAAUAUUUCAUGGGUAUGAGCAACAUCCUUUUGUAGAGUAGUCAUGAAAUUAUCCACUUCUCUCACCUCUGAAUCUAGAAUUCCAGAUAAGAGAUCAAACUCUAGAGCCUUCUGCACAGAAUCAUCUAAAACAUGUUCUUCCUCUGAAGCAAAGGCCUCAAAAUCACUUUCCCUUGUUGCCACAUGCAUCGUAAGUAUGCUCAAGUUAAAUAACUUCUCUGAGGAACAAGCCAAAUCUAGUUCCACUCUCUUUAGAACCUCUGUAGCAUUUCCUACUUCAAGCAUAACCUCUCCAUAGGAUGAGAUCCCUUCAUGCAAGUCCAUAUUAUUCUCCUCUGCCUCUGGGUCACUAGUAUUAAUGUCAUCAACAGAUGCAGUUGCAUCAAGAACUGUUUCAGCAUCCAUUCCAAUAAUCCAGUUGUUUUGCUGAUCACUGAAGCUUGAACAUAAUUGAAUUUCAGCUUUGUGGUUUAAUAAAACAUUUAAUCAGUAGCAAAAGAACAGUGCAAGUAACACAUCAGAGAGAAAAUAUGAUGACAAUGAUAUAAUGAACAACAUGAUAACUACAAACAAGAGUACAUUACAGAUUACCAACUUUAAAAGCUAUAUCCUAGGCUAAAGUGUAAAGUGGAUGUUUGGCUUCACAGCUCCCUACUUGGCCAAGUGAUUAGACAUUCCCCAUAGCAGAACAGAGCAGUUCAAAUAUCAAGUAUCACUUCUUUAAGUGACAGAAACCAAUAUAAGUUGACAAAAAAAGGUCAUGUCUAGUCAAAAUACUAAUGAAAAUUUUCAUAGUGUAAAGUAGAUUUAUUUUCUGGUAUCUACCUCAAUAACAAAGCCUAUGGGAAGGGAAGUCAUGAAUGAAAAUCAUCCUUUACCAGAAGAACUGAAUUGUUAAAGUUCUUUAUUUACCUUCCUUUGUGUUGUUGUUAUCUACCUCAAUAACAAAGCUUUUUGAUUUUUAUUCUUUCUUUCUUUCUUUUUUUACUUUGAGUUGGAAAAUUUUCAUCAUAUUCAAACUCUUUUUGUUGAUUUCAGGUUAGACAGCCAUGCUAAAAGGGAUUCCAUUUUUUUUGUAUUUAUUACAAGAAUUGAGUACUAAUUGACCCAUAAUAUUAGUGUAGACAUUCAAGUAUGACUUGGUAUGAUCAAAAGUCAUCUAAGUGCAUACCCUCCAUUGAUCGGAAGCUAAGUUUGUCACCAAAAAGGAAUAUUUAGACUGGAUUGUUCACAGUUCAAACCUUCAUACUAAAAAACAUGUCCUUUGUGAAUGGCAUCUUAUACGUGUGAAUCAUGGGUACCAUAUUAGAAGGAAAAUAAACUCUUUUAGGGAAAUAAAAACAAAAAGUUAUGCCUAAUAAAAGUAUAUUUGAUCCAACACAAACCCAAAUUCAAUUAGAAAAUUUUCCUUCCCCAAGAAGGAUUUUUCAAACAAAUCCAGAGGCACAAUCUCACACUAACCCAGAGCACCACAGGGAACUAAUACAUCAUGGAAGUAGACAUAUAUGGCUGAAUCAGAAAACUGAUAAAAUUGCCUAC